rnacentral:rRNA from 1 species
GACGAACGCUGGCGGCGUGCUUAACACAUGCAAGUCGAACGGAAAGGCCCUGCUUUUGUGGGGUGCUCGAGUGGCGAACGGGUGAGUAACACGUGAGUAACCUGCCCUUGACUUUGGGAUAACUUCAGGAAACUGGGGCUAAUACCGGCUAGGAGCUCCUGCUGCAUGGUGGGGGUUGGAAAGUUUCGGCGGUUGGGGAUGGACUCGCGGCUUAUCAGCUUGUUGGUGGGGUAGUGGCUUACCAAGGCUUUGACGGGUAGCCGGCCUGAGAGGGUGACCGGCCACAAUGGGACUGAGAGACGGCCCAGACUCCUACGGGAGGCAGCAGGGGGGAAUAUUGCACAAUGGGCGGAAGCCUGAUGCAGCAACGCCGCGGGCGGGAUGACGGCCUUCGGGGUGUAAACCGCUUUCGCCUGUGACGAAGCGUGAGUGACGGUAAUGGGUAAAGAAGCACCGGCUAACUACGUG